GAAGACACCUUAGGGCUCAAGCCUCAUUUUGCAAUUACAGUAUAAAAAAUUAAGUGCGCGUAUAACGUUUGUGAAUUUUCACCACUGAAAUCUUUGAAAAGAACACAUAAAACAUCAGCUGCAUUCCUACUUAAAACAUUAUUCUGAAUAUUACUGUGAUAAUACACUGUCUUAGCAGCACGGCUUUGGCAAACAGAGAAGCUAUAUGCCUUCCUUUUCCUCUGAAGUGUGUAGACCAAACUUCUCAUUGCUUUCCUUGCAAUGCAUACAUGGUAAGUUUGUUAAAGUGAGAGCUGUUUCUUUGUGGGCUUGUGCAGUAUUUAGUACAAAGAAUGUUGAAAAGUAUUUGAGACAUCUGUACUCUGCUUCUAGGAAUGUAAAUUAUAAAUGGUAACUGACAUAUCUAAAACAAGUAUACUGUAGAAGGUAAUUACAGAGAGAAUAACAAAUUCAAUUUAGAAUUGUAACUUUUCUUUGUGUUGUAACAAUUAUUUUCAAGUGCUUUGCUAGCUGGGAGGGUUCACAUCAUCUUCAGGAUCCAAAUUUUCCGUGCACUAUAAGAUAAAAGUACCAGAGAGUAAUAUUCAUAAAGACUGAAACUUGCUGGAGGAGAAAGUGGAGGAAGCUGUCCAGAUCAUGAAUAUUAAUCAAUGAGGAAGGGUCAUGCCUUUAUUCCCAUCCCUCAGUUAGGAGUUCCUGAUUGCUGCAUUUCAACCGAGUGAGAUACUUAAACUGUAGUACAUUGUCAGAAAGGCAUUGAAGGAAAUCUGUUUCCUCACCUGCUAAUAAAAGGACUCCAUUCAGUUCUGCAGAAGUAGUUACUGAACUGAAGAACUGGAGCCUGGUUGUAUUUGCUGCAUCCCUUAGAAAAUAUCCUAAAACUGUGGGCAACAGGGUAUGCAUUUCAUAUUUUCUUUAGUUCAUUCAUUGUUUAGUGUGUAGUAAAAGUCAUAUCUUUUAUGCAAUUUGACGAAUUGAAAUAACUGCCAUCAUAACUGAGUUUUCUAUGUGGUUUAGAUACUUUUCAACACUGUUCUAGUGCUGUCAUAGAAAAUGAACACACGAAUUGCUCAUUUAAAAAAAAAAACAAUCAAGAAAAACAGGCAUCAUUGCUCUAAAGGAAUUCCAAAGACUCUGAAAGAAACACUUUUUUUGGAUUUAACAAAAAAUGAUAUGAGUGGGAGUUCUGAGUCAGAGUGCAUGUGUUAGUUUCACAUUGUUCUUUAAAAAUUCUUCCUCUUAAAUUUACAAAUGGUAUUCCACUUUCUGACAGAAGUAUGGAUACCUGAACAGUGGUCUGAGGAAAACAUAUAGAACCAAAUGCAAAUUUCUGUUCCAGUGCCCUUCUGGGAAUAGGCUUAUUAAGGGAAAUUAAGAACUCAUUUUAUGGAAAGAAAAGCAUUUGCAAUAAACUGAAAUGAAAAUUGAUGGUAGCAUUUUCUUCACUUAGUAGCAUUCUGGUGAGUGGGCUGGAGACUGUGAUUCCUAAAAGUGAAUAGUAGCUAAUAUGGGUGAAUUGUAACUGAGACUGUUUUUUUCUAGGUUUUUGGAAGGGCAAAUAUUCAUACAAGUAAAUAGUUUGGCACAGCCCUCAGUGUGCAUGCAUGAAAGUGCUAGUUAAUACUAUCAAAAUUUGACAUUUUGGUUUUUUCUGGUUUUUUAUGGAUCUUGCCUGUUCUGCAGCUGUUCUUUAUUAUACAAGAUGACUAGAAGGUGAAAUAUAAACAUGAAGAAGAACAGAAUAGUAGUACUAUCUUACCUGCUUGUUUGAUUUUCCAAGUUUCAUAUAUCAACCCUUGCAGUGAGUAUAAGUCUUUGCAGUACAAAGUCAGUGCAAGAGCAGUUCAAGGUAACAUUAGACCUAUUAAUAGGCCCAGUAGGCUGGUGUUAGUCACAGAAGUCAUAAACCAUCAGGCUUCUGUUAUUACUGACUAUGGUCUUAUUGUAUGUUAAAAACCAUCUAAGUCUUUCCAGAUCUGCAAAUACAAUAGCUAAAAGUAGGGAACAGGGGAGAGGUGCCUAGCUUUUUACAGAAGGGCUUGCAGAAUAAAAAUUUCUGAUGACAAAUUAUUCCAUGCCAACUUCUCUUAUUGUGAAGAUUCUUAUAUGGAAUUUUGAAAGGUAGUUUUCCUUUAUUUUAUAUUGUGCUACAAAAUAAAACUCCAUAGCUCUACAUGAGAAUUAAGUGUUUGCCUGUGACCUUGUUCUUCACAUUCACCUGCUCAAAACCCACGCUACAGAUAGAAGUUGCUGGAAGCCCUCCAAGUAAACUAAUAAAAACUCUUACUUGAGGAAGUGGGAGAGGGAAUGAGCAGAAGGAGUCAGCUUGAAUGUUUCUUCAGUACAAUCUGCAAUGUGCAAGUCUGUGGUCUUGAAGAAAAUAAGCACAUUAAUACUCUAAAGAGCUAGGUGGGGAAUAAUUUCCAUUUUCUUCAUUGAAAUGAAGAGCCUCUUGAACUAGUAGCUUAUAAAAUAUGGGGGGGAAAUGUUAAUACCUUCACAGACAUGAUGUAAUUAUGGGGGCUUCUUCAAAUGAACUAUUUCUAAAAUGAUACAGUUGGUUCUUACUUUGCAAAUCCUCUUCAAAACCACUAUCAGUGUCAGUCAAAGAGUAUUCAAAUCAAGCUGAAAAUGAUCUCAGUUUGUGGUUCUGAGAUAUCCAUAGUAAUUCCAAGUACUGGAGUGCCUGGUGUUUUUUCUUUCUUUGACAAGGAGAGAGUCUUGCUGAGUGGGGUUGGAAAGAGAACCUGGGAAGAGUUUCACUUCAUUGUUUCAAUUUGCAUUAGAUAAAAUGGGCGUCCCAGAUGUCUUUUUAAGGAGACAGACACUGGAACUUUAAAACUUCAUUUUCUUUCUUUCCGGGAAGACAAUUUUAAGCUUUGAACUCCAACAUUCUUAAAUAAUAAUAAUGGGCAUAGAGAUGAGGGUGACUUUUUUAAAUUCCCAAAAAGAUGGGAAAAUUAAGCAUUUGCAGCAGUACCUAGAGAUCUAGCUGAAAUGAGGAUUUUUGUAAUUCUGUAUACUCUUUGUACAUAUGAGACAGACAUUCCUACUCAGAUAGAACCUAAGCAGACAAUAAGACAAAAGGGGAAGCGAAACACUAGGUAUUAGCUUGAAGUUUAGGACUAGAAUUUCUCAGCAAAUUAAGUUUGUAUCAGACUGGGGAGCUGAAUCCUGCCCAGUGACUCAAUCACAAGAACAACGCUACAAAACUUAAGGGAAGGAAUCAGAUGGGUAACCUUCCAGAGCUUCAAAUAAAUAUCAGAUUAUAAUUCCAACUCUGCGUUUCUUAUUCAGACUAACUCCCUAAUCCAAACCCCUUGAGAAUCUCUCUACCUUUUUAAUGCACCCAUCAGUACAUAUUCCAAACAGCGUGUAUUCAGCAGACAAUGGUGAUUGUUGUGGUGGGUGGCAAAAUAUGCAGUGGGUUGCAGUAGCAACGAUUACAUCCUGUAUCUCUUUAAUAUAAUGCGUGGUUCAUAUUUCAAAAACUGUUUAUAGUUAGAGAGUAAAAUAUGACUUUGAUUAAUAUUUACAUCCAAUCUAAUGCCUUCAUUUGUUCCAUUGUCUCAUUUUAAGCACUUGUAUGCAAAAGAUUCUGAUGUUAUGUCAGCUGAAGCUUAGCAACUGCUAUUAUUGAUUAUAGCCUUGAUGGAAACUUCUCAGCAGUUUACAGUAUUUUGUUAGGAUAUUUGAAGAGACAUAAAGUAUUAUUAUAAAGAAGCAAAGCUAGGUUUGGCAAAGAGCCUUUCUUUUGUCUGUGAAACUCUCUUCAGUAAAUUUAGAACAGAAGGACUUUUCUCUGGAGUGAAAAAUAUAUGUAUUGCUGGCUACAAGCGUAAGUUUGCUGCUUCACCAAUUUAGAAUUAGAUGAUGGACUUAUUUAGUAGACAUUGGAUAGUAAAAAGUAAAGCCCAUAAUUUAAAACGUUCCACAUUACCACAUUCCAAGAAAAACAUGGCCCGGUGAACAAAACCAGCAGUAUUGUAAUAAGAAAACAACUAGGUGCAUUUUUUCCAAAACCUAAACCCAGAAAUCUAAAUGCAUGAGUUACUGGCUAAAAAUGCCAUUUUCAUGUCUCCAUUUCUUCGUGGACUGAAAGAAAAAAAAAACCAAAUUGAGAAAAAAAGAUGUAAUACUCCAGGUGAAGAUUCAGAAUGCUGCUGUAAUGUUACAAUCUUUUUUGAAUCUUAAUGUUGCUUCUUUAAUUUUAAAAAUAGGCUUUUUUUUUCUUUAUAGGAGAUAUAUUGUUACAACAAUUUUGUUUUUGUUUGCUUUGUUUUAAAUGUAAGAUUUUUUUUAAGGAAGUGUAGUAAUUACUGUAUCAGAAGGAUUUCUGUCAUUGCAUUUCCUGCACUGGCUUUGCUACUGAAUCUAGGAAAAGGGUCAAUUUUCACACGAACUACAGAAGACAACUGUUGACAUGUAACAUUCACUGUAUUAAAGCAUGCUGCAUGAGUUCCCCUCUUAUUGAUAUCCCUUUCUGAUUGCUAUAUGCUGCUAAGUACUAAUCGUAAGUCAUAACUAUGCAUCUAAGUUACACCUAUGCUAAGUGAGUAGCACAGUCUAAAAUUCCAGUCCAAUUCUCUAAAAGAGCAGCUUGAUUUAAGUUACUGGAUCAUAAUUUCACUGGUUGAAAUUGAGACUGGAAGAUGGUGGGAAGACAGACAGAAGAGAAAAGUGUUAGCCAGAUGCUUGAAUCCCUGAUCUUCUGAAGUGUUGAAGCAACUUUGCUUGGGUGUUCUAAAGGGUUUUUUUCAGGACAAGAGAAUCUGUAUCUAUACAAGAGGAUGGACAUUACUACAUAGAUACCUGUUCAAAUUAAAGGAAGCCCCUGAAAAUGAAACCAGAAAAAAAAAACACAUUAUGAGGAAGAUAAGGCAUAUAUAGGCAAGAUACAGGGAAUCUGAAAUGUGAUUUUCUCAUCAUGCUUGACUUGAAUGUGCUGCCUUUUGUAGCUUACCCUCUGUUGAACAUGUAAUUAAGGAAUUGAAAUCUGAGAGAUGGAUCAGAGGUGGAUUACAGAUACAGAUGUCAAUAGGAUAAAGGAUGUAGAUGCCAGGAAUUGCUGCUGUGUCCACAAGACUCUACUGCUGCUUCUGUCUCUCUGAAGGAAAUGUUUCUUUCACUUACCCUUGUGCAAAAAUCAAGAGACCUGCCUUCUACAGGAAGACUUCCUUCCUGUAGAAACCUCAUUCCUCUCAAUAAUGAAACCACCAGCUGCUUUCUAAAGAACUAUUUUUCUUCUGUCUCAUCUUUAAGAGGACUGAAAUGCUACUCAAUUGUUUGUACAUGUAUACGAAGCUGCUGUUAUGUACUGUCCCUAAAAUUUCAUAGCCACUUUCCAGUGAUAGCAAUGUUCCAGACUUCAUAUUUAGCUAUUUUCUAACAGUAGGGAGGAGAUUAUUUUUAAAUAUUAUUAGUUUUGAUGGGGUGAGGGGCAAAGGCAAUUUCUGUAUGCUGGAUAUGCUCAGCUGUUUGAUCUCUUGCUGUUCAUGGAUAGUCAAAUAUUAAUCAGAAGAACAUGGCGUGUAAUGACAAAGUUGAUUGUACUUUUAUUUUAUAUCUUCUAUCUCCUAACUGUGCACAGUGUUUUGUACAAUUCUACGAUGGACCUAAAAAUAGCACCAAAAUGUGUGUGUCAAAUGCAUCUCCCUUAAGAGAUUUGAUGUGAAUACUCCAUUAUGUGCCCUGAUCUCCAUUGCCUGAAGGACAAGAAGUUUAGUUCUUGAAUCAACUUUGUGUGUAAAAAUUUGAGUUCAUGUAUAAAGCAGAAAUAUUAUGGCUGUUCAGAACCAAUGGGUGGUAGGCAUUAAGAGAAAGUUUCAAUUCAUAAGUUCAACCUUUACCCUCUUCUCAUUUCUUUCUGUUCUGGUUUCACCUUAAUUUAUAUGUGCUUUAUUUGACUUCCCUUCUUCCUUCUCCUUUCACUGACUCCUAAGCAGAAGAUGGAACAAGGUAAGCUGUUUCAGUUUGGAACAACGUUUUUAAAGUCUGGUGUUCAGUUUUUUUGAAAUUAGGAAAGAUUGUUACAAAAAAAGAUGAAAGCAUUUUUUAUUCAGCAGGUUAUUGUUAUAAGGAGUGCAUCUGCAGUUGAUAUCCUUCUAAGUGCUGUGAUUAUUCUAUGCAGUUGCUAGGAAAAUUGAACUGUAAAACACACCAGAAGGCUUACAGCACUAGGCUGUAUUUGAAAUAUAUUAUACUAAAAGACUAUCCUCAAAAGGAGAGAAAGAAAUUCAAUCCAUGGAGUCCAGAUAGGUGGGAAAGCCUACAAGGGAAAGUUGUGUUUAAAAAAAAAAAAAAGUGUGAAGCCAACAAAAGGCAUUUCUGCUCUUGGCUGAAGAAACUCUUACGUUCUUCGUAUGACAAUUGAAUAUAACAAGAAGCUGUGUUAUUGACUGAACGAUAAAUCCUUUGUGAGACAUAGGAGCUCACUGAACAUUACUCCUGCUUUUCCCCUUGAUUAACUGUGCUGUGGUUUUACGAGUUACAAGCAAAAUGUGCACCUCAAGUCACGCACUCUUAAAUAACCCAGCAAUAUAAUCUAUUUAGAGAAGGCUUGAAGCAUUUUUCAGAACAAGUGCAUCAUUUUUAAAGUUUUUCCAUGGGGAAUUAUUUGUAAAAAUAUGUAUCUUUUGGGAUUUGUACCAGGAUAUUUCUUAAUUAUUGCUGACAUGUCGCCCAUAACACCAUAAGCUCCCUCAAAGGGCAGGAAAAAAAGAAUCAUUCUCCCUUAAUCACCAUGUAUAAACCAAAUAAAUUUAGCAACAACCUCGUGCUAUUGAAGCAACAAAUUGAUGCCUUCAGAGUUCCCUAAUGACUUAAAUAUUAAAAAUAAUAUUAAAAAUCAAAUGAGAAAAAAGAACAAAAACAAACAAAAAAAACCCUGCACAUUUCCAGGAUGGAAACAUCAACUUUUUAGAGCUACUCACUGGCACAGAGACCUGCAGAACAUAAGUGACCAAAGAUUGUCUAGUCAGUCAGCUAAGCAUAUGAGAUGUGGAAGGAGGUAAAAUGAAUUGGAAAGGUAGUAAAUGAAGCUUUCAUGGAGUCAGGAUCAAGGGUCCAGUUCUUAAUAUAUAGAAUAACAUCUAAAAACAUGAGUUGUUAUGUUGAACAGGACUAAUAAAAUAAAGACUAAAAGCUAAGUUUUUCUACAAAGAAUUAGUAGAGAGCAUUCAGUGUGAUACACAUCAUCUGCAACUUACUGUACAAUGACUCCUCCCGAUAGCCAAACCAUGCUAAAUCAAGUAUGGCAUGUAACUAUUUAAAGGCUAGGACUUCACACAAUGGCUGUAUUUGGUACUCCAGAUUCCCUGCUGCAGUAAACUUAAGUAUUUCUGAAAAAACUCCUCUGAGAAGCUUAAAUGAGAAAAGUCUCUUUUUCUACCUGGUUUAUAAUGUUUAUAUAUAUUAUAUAUAUUUCUAAAUCACAUUCUUGAACCUUAGUGCCCAGAUGUUUACUAGCCUUUCAGAACUCAACAGAAUAGCAACAAGUAGUUUCAUCCUUUUCAUAUAUAUAAUUUUCAAAGUUCUCAAGAUGUAUCCUAAGCAAAUUUUGGCAUUCUUGUUCUACAAAAAAUAGGACCUGAAAAACAAUGCUACAUCCACUUGACCGUGAUUGCUGAGGGCCAAGCAUUUGAAAAAGUUUUUGUAUACAGAAUUAUGUGGGAGAUACUGGACAGUACCCAGAGUACAAACGAGUACUGCAUGUCAUUCUCAGAACUAGAGGCUAUCAUUAAAAUAUAGAGACUCACCUUUAUCUCAAUGUUCCCUGGAGUUGCCAGCAUGUACAGUAAGAGAGCUGGCAAAUCAAGCUCUUCUUCAGCUUCAAAAGCCUUUAAAAAAAUCUCUGUUUAUUGUCCAAUAAAGUUUAUAACUAUAUGCUGUUAAAACGUACUUAAGUAAGGCCUGACAUGACUAAAGUCUAAUUUACAACCCUUGCUCUUUCUUCUUUUUGAAGAAAAUGAAUAAUAGCUUGGUGUUACAAUGCCCCAAACUAACAGGUUUUUUUGUUGAUACCCAACUUUGUAAGCAUGAUAACUUGCGCGUAGGUGGAAAGUGCUCUUGUGAUUCUGGGUAUUUGAUCUGGCAAACUUAUAAAUAACUGCAAGUUUGUGCCUUGAUAGCUUGAUUUUAAGGAUCUUGAACAAUAUAAGAACAUAACCGUCAGACAACGUGAGCAUGACUCUGAAAUUUUUCUCAGAUGACACACCACAUUGAUACGAGGCUAAGGAGUUGAAUUUUGGAAGCUUGAAGCAAACAUACAUCCUAAAGAAAAAAAGCAUAGCAGUAUUUAGAACUUCUGCUAAAAAAAAAAAAAAAAAGUCUUUUGCCAGUUCUGGAAGACAGCAUCACUAAUCCCUUUCUCUUCAUUAAAGAAUCAACAAGUUGCAAUUGCAAGUAGUAGUCAUACCCUAUCUGACACCAGAACAAAGAAAAAGGUAGAAAAUACUUGAUCGUUCAACUCUGAAUUCUUUCUAUUGAAGCAUGAAGGAUCUUUGUGUCUCACUGUAGCUUGGAAGAUUUGAUUAAUUAUUAAAAACACUGCCUGUCAAGAUACCGUUACCACAGACAGCACAGAAGCCAAAAGCCUGCACCAUUACCAAAAAGUAGUUUGAACUGACAAACAUUACUGAAUGCACAGUUCUAUAGCAUAUCUUAUAGAGGCUCUGGUUCAGGUCAGGAGACAGCUGCUCAACAGCCAGACCCCAAAGAGUACAGCAAGAUAAAUAUAAACCACCUAUACUUUAUAUAAUACUUACAGAUUCUUAAAAUAGUGGAAGAAAAAAAAAAAGCCAUUAAUUCUAUUCAGUAUUUGUGAUUAUAUCUAUAAAUUAAGCCAUCCAGUCUACGAAAGUCGAGUGUUUAUUUCUCUGAGGUCUUUCCACAUGCACUUCAGUGUUACCUAUUUUGUCUAACCUUUUUGUAAAUUCACUGUCUCAGAAAUUUAAUAUCCCACUCAUCUUGAUUUGAUCGUCUCUUUGUUCACUCCAGUUAUAUCUCACUUUUCAUUCAAGUACAUAUGUUUUUAAUUGAACAAUCUUGUUACAUGUUGUUAGGAAAUAGACCAACUAUCCCCAAGGAUCCAUUCUGGGAAUCUUGAGAACCAGCCUUAGACAGGAAUUCUCAUUCCUUUACCAGUUUUAGAUUUUUUUAAUUAUUAUUUUUUAUUUUUUUAUUUCUUAAGAAAAAAAACACCCUAUCUAACCAUAUUUAACUAGACAAAUAAUCCUACAGACCAAAAACGUCCCAGGGCUUGUGCUACUGUUUCAUAUCACAGGGGAGCUAGGCCUACUGCCAACCUUAACGCAGUUUGUAUUAGAAAUCUAAAACCUCUCAGAUGUAUUAAGAAUCCUGUGCUAGAACUUGGCUUAAUUCCUGAUAGUUAUUCUACUACACUUUAGUGUGGAAAAGGCUGCUGUUUUAGCUUGUCACUGUCACCAAAAAUCUCAACAGCCAAUGACAUUUCACUAAAGCAGUUACUGAAGCUGUAUUAUUGCCCCCUGACCGGUAGUGCUUACUACUGAAAAGCUGAAGGUCUUUUGCCACAGAAUCAGAACUUCAUGUAUUUCCUGGAAUAUACCACAGUUAUAUCUUUUGUUUGUUUGUUUGUUUUUUCCUCUAAGCUUGUGGAAAUAGACACAACUAAUAACUGUUGGCAAAUAUCAUUAGCAUCUCCGCAAGGAAUACAACAUAUGACAAUUAGUGACCAGUCCAGCAGAGGUGUUGGCUCUUUGCAUUGUUACAGCUCUUCUGAAUCUGGAUUGCAUGAGGAGCAUAAAGGACCAUUCUGCACGUCUGCUUUCCAGAUAGAUUGCUUAGUUCCCAUUUCUUUUCUAAGCUGUACAUUAUUACUACUACAUCUAAAGCCAACAUUUCUGUGACUUCAGAACAAAUUGGAUUGAUUCUAGAAGCUUUUUGGCUUUAUGUAUUUGCUAAAUUGGCACAUGCUGCAUCUGUGCUACUUGAAUUAACAGAACUGUUCAUAUUUUACUGCAGAUUACUGGCAAAUUUUCCUUUAUUAUUUGCAAAUGGGUACUCUGUGUAGUGUGUGAGUCAGUCAACUCCUAUCCAUUUUUAAUAGGUAUAUUAAAACAUGAUGAUAUGAUGAGAUAUUUUAUUAUAUAAAUAGUGAUUUGACCAUCCUGAGAAAGUAUAUAAAAUGCCCUUUUAUAUCUGACAGCAGGUAUUUUUAAGUGCUAUAAAUAGUUAAACGUAAAAUAGGACUUUCCAUUAUUGUUCUCAUUUGGACUGCGUAGUCAGUCCUUAACCACCUUUAUGUUCAAAGCUGAACUGCAGGAAAACCAGUGACUAAAGUUCUACAUGUAGAAACAUAAUACCUAGAGUCUGCACCCG
rnacentral:lncRNA from 1 species